rnacentral:rRNA from 1 species
GAUGAACGCUGGCGGCGUGCCUAAUACAUGCAAGUCGAACGGACAGGCCAUGAUCUUGCGCGUCGCUCGUUUGCCGCACGCGUGUGUAUCACGCGUGUAUCCUGUCCCUGUCUUUCUGAUAUCACUUCGAAACUGCGGCUCUUAUCGCAUAUGAUCUCUUGCUGCACGUUGUUCGUUGGAUAGUUUCGGCGGUUGUGGAUCGUCUCGCGGCUUAUCAGCUUGUUGGUGUGGUUGUGGCUUACCAAGGCUUUGACGGGUAGCCGGCCUGAGAGGGUGACCGGCCACAUUGGGACUGAGAUACGGCGCAGACUCCAACGGGAGGCAGCAGUGGGGAAUAUGGCACAAUGGGCGGAAGCCAGAUGCAGCAACGCCGCGUGCGGGAUGACGGCCUUCGGGUUGUAAACCACUGUCGCCUGUGACGAAGCGUGAGUGACGGUAAUGGGUAAAGAAGCACCGGCUAACUACGUG